GUGAAUCAUCGAAUCUUUGAACGCACAUUGCGCCCUUUGGUAUUCCGAAGGGCAUACCUGUUCGAGCGUCAUUAUCACCCCUCAAGCCCCGUGCUUGGUGUUGGACGGCCGGUCGAGGUGACUCGACCCCUCCUAAAGACAAUGACGGCGGCCUGUGGUUCCCCCGGUACACUGAGCUUUUCACUGAGCACGUAUCGGACAAGGGCGCCCAGGACCCGGUCCUCUCCUUUGACCAGGAAACUUUUCAAGGUUGACCUCGGAUCAGGUAGGGAUACCCGCUGAACUUAAGCAUAUCAAUAA
rnacentral:misc_RNA from 1 species